rnacentral:rRNA from 1 species
AUACGGAGGAUCCGAGCGUUAUCCGGAUUUAUUGGGUUUAAAGGGUGCGCAGGCGGCCAUUUAAGUCAGCGGUUAAAUCGUGGGGCUCAACCCCAUUCUGCCGUUGAUACUGGGUGGCUUGAUUGCGGUCGAGGUUGGCGGAAUUCGUUGUGUAGCGGUGAAAUGCAUAGAUAUGACGAAGAACACCGAUUGCGUAGGCAGCUGACCAAACCGCAAAUUACGCUCAUGCACGAAAGUGCGGGGAUCGAACAGGAUUAGAUAACCUGGUAGUCCGCACAGUAAACGAUGAAUACUUGUUUUCGGCGAUAUAAUGUCGGAGGCAAAGCGAAAGCGAUAAGUAUUCCACCUGGGGAGUACGCCGGCAACGGUGAAACUCAAAUGAAUUGACGGGG